rnacentral:rRNA from 1 species
UUCAGAGGUCUCCAGCGUUGUUCGGAUUCAUUGGGCGUAAAGGGUGCGUAGGCGGCGCGGUAAGUCGGGUGUGAAAUCUCGGGGCUUAACUCCGAAACUGCAUUCGAUACUGCCGUGCUUGAGGACUGGAGAGGAGACUGGAAUUUACGGUGUAGCGGUGAAAUGCGUAGAUAUCGUAAGGAAGACCAGUGGCGAAGGCGGGUCUCUGGACAGUUCCUGACGCUGAGGCACGAAGGCCAGGGGAGCAAACGGG